rnacentral:tRNA from 1 species
GCCCUGGUGGUGUGACUAUUAAGCACUCAGCUGCUAACUGAAGGGUUGGUGGUUCAAAUCCACCCAAUGGCU